AGUUGAAACUGUUCCCAACAAGGUGCU
rnacentral:piRNA from 1 species